GAGUUUGAUUAUGGCUCAGGAUGAACGCUAGCGAUAGGCUUAACACAUGCAAGUCGAGGGGCAGCGUGAACUUAGCUUGCUAAGUUUGAUGGCGACCGGCGCACGGGUGCGUAACGCGUAUGCAACUUGCCUUACAGAGGGGGAUAACCCGUUGAAAGACGGACUAAUACCGCAUAUACUUAUUCGGUUGCAUGACCGGGCAAGGAGAUAUUUAUAGCUGUAAGAUAGGCAUGCGUCCCAUUAGCUGGUUGGUGAGGUAACGGCUCACCAAGGCAACGAUGGGUAGGGGAACUGAGAGGUUUAUCCCCCACACUGGUACUGAGACACGGACCAGACUCCUACGGGAGGCAGCAGUGAGGAAUAUUGGUCAAUGGGCGAGAGCCUGAACCAGCCAAGUCGCGUGAAGGAAGACUGUCCUAAGGAUUGUAAACUUCUUUUAUACGGGAAUAACGGGCGAUACGCGUAUUGCUAUGAA
rnacentral:rRNA from 1 species